rnacentral:piRNA from 1 species
UGGAAGUCAGCAUUCUGGAGUGGAGAA